UAGAGAUGCUCAUCCAAACAAAAAAAUAUUUUGUUUGAGGCAUAUUUUUUUGGGAAAAAAAAGCAAAAUACCAACUUUAUUCAUUUAGCUACCGUUUGGUUCGGAGUUAAGGAAAAACUAGUUAUUCCAGAAAUAAGGUUAAGGUGGGGUUAGAGUAUUUUUGUAUUUGGUUGGAGGUUGAAGUUAGUCUAGGAUAAUAAAAAAUAGUGUUUGGUUGAAGUAGGUAGGAUAAGAAGGAUAGUGGGUUAUUAUGAAUAGAAAAUAAUGUUUGGUUGGGGUUUGGUGGGGUUAGGUGGGAUUAGCUAAUCCGGAAUAACCCAUUUUUAGAAGUGUUUAGGGAUAAAAUGGGGGUUAAGGGGUUAUUCCACCCCUUAACCCCCAACCAAACAGAGGCUUAGGAUAAUGAACUUAGCUAAAGAGGUGAGGCAAUUGAGGCCUUGGGGAAAAAAAAACACAAAACAAAAGGCUUAAA
rnacentral:lncRNA from 1 species